rnacentral:tRNA from 1 species
GCAGCGGUAGUUCAGUCGGUUAGAAUACCGGCCUGUCACGCCAGGGGUCGCGGGUUCGAGUCCCGCCCGCUGCGCCA